UGAAUUGAAAUUGUGAAUUCAAUUGAAUUCAACUGCGCGGAUGGAGGGUGAGCGAGGGUGAGACAGCGGAGGAGGCGAGGGCAUGGGUGUGGGCGUGGGCAUGGGCGUGGGCGUGGGCGCGGACGGAGGGAUGGGUGAGGGCGAGGGCGAGGCGAAUAAAGUGACGUCUUAUUGGUUUGUUUGGUUUGCAAAAGUGGAUAUAAAAAUGCACUUUGCAAAAGUGGAAUAGUGAAGUGAGUUGUAACUAAAUUACUUUUUUGUCUUCGACUUGAAAAAUUCCGAAGUCAUCGAAAGUGAGAGCCUAGGUAAAAGAUAACUUUACAAUUUAAUUUAUUGUUAAUUUUGAAUUUUAACUUAAACUUGAAAUUGAAUUGUGACUGCAAUUUUAUAUUUUUAAUUUUGAAUGUGAAUUCAAAUUCAACAUGAAAUUUUACAUCCCAAAGUGGUAAAUUUAAAUUGGUAGUUUAAAUUUGAAUUCUAAUUUCUUGUAAAUAUUUGAAUUCAAAUAUUUAAAUUAUAAUUUGAAUCAAUUUUGAUUUCAACUAUAAAUUCAACUUGAGCUUUGAAUUGAAAUUGUGAAUUCAAUUGAAUUCAACUGCGCGGAUGGAGGGUGAGCGAGGGUGAGACAGCGGAGGAGGCGAGGGCAUGGGUGUGGGCGUGGGCAUGGGCGUGGGCGUGGGCGCGGACGGAGGGAUGGGUGAGGGCGAGGGCGAGGCGAAUAAAGUGACGUCUUAUUGGUUUGUUUGGUUUGCAAAAGUGGAUAUAAAAAUGCACUUUGCAAAAGUGGAAUAGUGAAGUGAGUUGUAACUAAAUUACUUUUUUGUCUUCGACUUGAAAAAUUCCGAAGUCAUCGAAAGUGAGAGCCUAGGUAAAAGAUAACUUUACAAUUUAAUUUAUUGUUAAUUUUGAAUUUUAACUUAAACUUGAAAUUGAAUUGUGACUGCAAUUUUAUAUUUUUAAUUUUGAAUGUGAAUUCAAAUUCAACAUGAAAUUUUACAUCCCAAAGUGGUAAAUUUAAAUUGGUAGUUUAAAUUUGAAUUCUAAUUUCUUGUAAAUAUUUGAAUUCAAAUAUUUAAAUUAUAAUUUGAAUCAAUUUUGAUUUCAACUAUAAAUUCAACUUGAGCUUUGAAUUGAAAUUGUGAAUUCAAUUGAAUUCAACUGCGCGGAUGGAGGGUGAGCGAGGGUGAGACAGCGGAGGAGGCGAGGGCAUGGGUGUGGGCGUGGGCAUGGGCGUGGGCGUGGGCGCGGACGGAGGGAUGGGUGAGGGCGAGGGCGAGGCGAAUAAAGUGACGUCUUAUUGGUUUGUUUGGUUUGCAAAAGUGGAUAUAAAAAUGCACUUUGCAAAAGUGGAAUAGUGAAGUGAGUUGUAACUAAAUUACUUUUUUGUCUUCGACUUGAAAAAUUCCGAAGUCAUCGAAAGUGAGAGCCUAGGUAAAAGAUAACUUUACAAUUUAAUUUAUUGUUAAUUUUGAAUUUUAACUUAAACUUGAAAUUGAAUUGUGACUGCAAUUUUAUAUUUUUAAUUUUGAAUGUGAAUUCAAAUUCAACAUGAAAUUUUACAUCCCAAAGUGGUAAAUUUAAAUUGGUAGUUUAAAUUUGAAUUCUAAUUUCUUGUAAAUAUUUGAAUUCAAAUAUUUAAAUUAUAAUUUGAAUCAAUUUUGAUUUCAACUAUAAAUUCAACUUGAGCUUUGAAUUGAAAUUGUGAAUUCAAUUGAAUUCAACUGCGCGGAUGGAGGGUGAGCGAGGGUGAGACAGCGGAGGAGGCGAGGGCAUGGGUGUGGGCGUGGGCGCGGACGGAGGGAUGGGUGAGGGCGAGGGCGAGGCGGAGGAGGAGGGUGAGAUGGCACGGCCGACUAUGCCAUCGGUGAGGGGAGGAAGGUGGCGUUGCCGAGGAAGAGGUAGAAGGGUAUUUUGGGUAUAAAAAAUAUAUAAUAAUAGGAUAUAGAUGGAACCCUAAUGGAACACCCACCGACGGCGAGGUCUAAAGUGAACAUUUUUUAUUUUUUAAGGGGGCAAAAUGUAGGUUUUUAAAUAAUAGGGAGGAAAAGUAAAAAAAAGGGAUUUUGUCUGGGAGGUUUUUUGUAAUUUAGCCUUAAAAUUAUAAAUUUAAUUAUACAUUUAAAUUAAGAAUUUAAGUGCCAUGACACGGGGUCGUGCCGAAAAGAGGCACGGUAUGGUAUGGUGCGUGCCGGGUUGUGUCGAUGCGUGCCGGUCACAAAAAAUAUGUGUGCCAAACUGCUAACAUAUAAUAGUAUAAAAUAUUUAUUUUCUCUAGCAACAAACUAUUGUAAUUGCUUAUUAUGUAUCUUUAUCAAAUCUUUUGAACUUUGUUGAGAAAAUUACUUACUAAUUUAAAGAAAAGAGAGUUUUGAGCUAUGUCAUCGGUAUGGGGGCUGUAUCGUGCCAAUAUUUUGUUGGCACGAUAUGACACGAUAGAUACGGCCUAUGCCGAUGGACCAAGGAUUCAAGUGCCGUGGUAUAGAGUCGUGCCGGAAACUUGCCGGCAUGGUACGGCACGGUGUGUGCCGGGCCGUGCCGAUGCGUGCCUGUCAAAAAUAUAUAUAUGUGCUGACACGUAAUGGCAUGAAAUAUUUAUUUUCUUUAACAACAAAAUAUGUCAAUUAUUUAUUAUGUAUUUUUAUCAAAUCUUUUAAACUUUGUUGAGAAAAUUACUUACUAAUUUCAAGAAUAGAGAGUUUUGAGUUGUGCCAUCGGCACGGGGGUUGUAUCGUGUCGAUAUCUUUUUGGCAUGAUACGGCAUGGUGGAUACGGCCCGUGCCGAUGGGCACUUUAAUCCUUGCGAUGGACACUUAAAUCCUUGAUUUAAAUUUUUAAUUAUAACAUUAUAUUUAAAAAUAAUUUUUAAAUUUUAAUUAUAAAAUUUAUAGUUAGAUCUUUUAUUAAAAUUGCAAGUUUAAGUUGACAUUGUUACUAAUAUAUUAUAUAUAACCAAACAAUCAAAACUAUGUAGCUGUAAUUUUCUAUUUUCUACUUUAUAAUUAUAGCCAACCAAACAACAUAAUCCAAAAGCCACUUUUUAAAAAGUUACUUUUGUAAAAGUGACUUUUUUCAUUGUAGUCACUUACGAGUAACCAAACAUGCCCUUAGU
rnacentral:lncRNA from 1 species